GGAAUCGCUAGUAAUGGCGGAUCAGCAUGCCGCCGUGAAUACGUUCCCGGGCCUUGUACACACCGCCCGUCACACCACGGAAGCUGGUCCCAUCCGAAGUCACUACCUUAACCUGGCUUUGGCCAGGAGGGGGGUGCCUACGGUGGGGCUGGUGACUGGGGUGAAGUCGUAACAAGGUACCCCUACCGGAAGGUGGGGGUGGAUCACCUCCUUUCUAAGGA
rnacentral:rRNA from 1 species